CACCAUAGUGAGUAAUGAGGAACAGGUUAACUCUCUUACUUUGUCAGAAGGAAAAACAUGUUGAUAUAAUCUUCUAAUCCCCAAUUCUCUUCUGUUAAAUUGUCUUAAUAUGGACCCCCCCCCCAAAUUCCCAAUCCUUCCAUAUUAUUAAAACACAUCAUAGGAAACUAGAUGAAAAGUUCUACUCUUUUUGUCCCAAGCUUGAACAGAAACUGCACUCUUAAGUAUUUGUACUAAGUUUUAGGCCAGUAUAACAUGGAGAGAGAUUGGCUAGAUAGCAGUUCCUGUAAAAGUGAUCUGAAGAUGAUGUCACUAGGAUGUGUCAGUCCAAAAAAGCUAAAGUGUUUAGGCUACAAUAAGAAAGGUAUAGUAACAUAAUGGGAGAGGUGAUAGGUUAACUAUAAUCUGUUGGUCAUCAGACAAUUUCACAUAAUAUUGUUUUUGGUUACAGGCUCCAGAUAUUAGAAAUGACUUGAAUCUCCAAGGGACUGAAGUUAAAAAAAAGGUAUCCACUGCCUUAGAAGGAACUGAUGGAAUCCAAAUGCAGAAUGAAGUAUACUUUUUUUUCAUUUUACUUCCUCCAUGAAUUUUUUUGGAAGGGCCAUUCCAAACAGGAUAUGCUACUGAAUUGGAAGAGAUGACCAUUCAAAAUAAACAAGGAUGAAGAAUAAAAUCUGUGGUGUGGUCUUCAAGGACCUAUCCCCCCAACCCUGCCAGUCUUCUGAUACCUUACAUUUCUCAGAUACCUAGCCCCUCAAGAAUCAGAGGACAUCUAUAGAUGACAAGGAAAAGAACGUUACUCUCAUCAGAAUUGGUUCAAAGAGGAAAUAAUGUACACAUUCAAACUUUUUCACACUAAAGACAGCAACAAAGUUUCACUUUUGCAAAAGAAAUUUAAUUUGCAUUCACUGAGAGGACUUAUGAAUCAUAAUGCUCUUUACAGAGUGGAAGACACACAAUCUGAUGUGUAGAAAGAAGUCAAGACCUGAGGAAUGAAGAUGUAUUCACUGCUUAGAUUGAUGGUUUUGUGUGUGAGAAAGUCUGCAUAUUGACUUACUUUGAUUUAGAAAAGAAUUAUUUCUAUAUAAUCUAAUAAUCAAAAAACUGAGAAUAUGGCAAAAGUAAAAGUAGUCCAAAUGUCAAAUGUACUGACAUUUCAUUAGGACUGCAAAUUACUACAGAUGGCCUUUCUCCUUUUUUAACCUUUGUCCAGUUAAUUAGCUCAUAAAUAAUCUCUUUUGGGGGAUACCAAGGGAAACAACACUGUAGCCUUAAUCCUAACGGAAGGGUUAGCAUAUUUACACAGAUGUAGCCAGUGAGCUUUAAGUCUACUGAUGGAUUUUGCUCUAGAUUUGGAACUGACCUGAAAGAAGAGAGCAGAAACCAGCUGGUGAAAAAUAAACUAUCAACUACAUUGUACA
rnacentral:lncRNA from 1 species